GACGAACGCUGGCGGCGUGCUUAACACAUGCAAGUCGAACGGAAAGGCCCUGCUUUUGUGGGGUGCUCGAGUGGCGAACGGGUGAGUAACACGUGAGUAACCUGCCCUUGACUUUGGGAUAACUUCAGGAAACUGGGGCUAAUACCGGAUAGGAGCUCCUGCUGCAUGGUGGGGGUUGGAAAGUUUCGGCGGUUGGGGAUGGACUCGCGGCUUAUCAGCUUGUUGGCGGGGUAGUGGCUUACCAAGGCUUUGACGGGUAGCCGGCCUGAGAGGGUGAACGGCCACAUUGGGACUGAGAUACGGCGCAGACUCCUACGGGAGGCAGCAGUGGGGAAUAUGGCACAAUGGGCGGAAGCCUGAGGCAGCAACGCCGCGUGCGGGAUGACGGCCUUCGGGGUGUAAACCGCUUUCGCCUGUGACGAAGCGGGAGUGACGGUAAUGGGUAAAGAAGCACCGGCUAACUACGUG
rnacentral:rRNA from 1 species